rnacentral:rRNA from 1 species
UGAUGCGAUCAUACCAGCACUAAAGCACCGGAUCCCAUCAGAACUUUGAAGUUAAGCGUGCUUGGGCGAGAGUAGUACUAGGAUGGGUGACCUCCUGGGAAGUCCUCGUGAUGCAUUCC